rnacentral:rRNA from 1 species
UACGUAGGGGGCAAGCGUUGUCCGGAUUCAUUGGGCGUAAAGAGCGUGUAGGCGGCCAGGCAGGUCGGUUGUGAAAACUGGAGGCUCAACCUUCAGAGGUCGACCGAAACCAUCUGGCUAGAGUCCGGGAGAGGAAAGUGGAAUUCCUGGUGUAGCGGUGAAAUGCGUAGAUAUCAGGAGGAACACCGGUGGUGUAGACGGCUUUCUGGAUCGUAACUGACGCUGAGACACGAAAGCGUGGGUAGCAAACAGG